rnacentral:miRNA from 1 species
CGGCAGUUUUGUAUGAUGUUACU